GGCGUCGAGCGGCGGACGGGUGAGUAAUGCCUAGGAAAUUGCCCUGAUGUGGGGGAUAACCAUUGGAAACGAUGGCUAAUACCGCAUGAUGCCUACGGGCCAAAGAGGGGGACCUUCGGGCCUCUCGCGUCAGGAUAUGCCUAGGUGGGAUUAGCUAGUUGGUGAGGUAAGGGCUCACCAAGGCGACGAUCCCUAGCUGGUCUGAGAGGAUGAUCAGCCACACUGGAACUGAGACACGGUCCAGACUCCUACGGGAGGCAGCAGUGGGGAAUAUUGCACAAUGGGCGCAAGCCUGAUGCAGCCAUGCCGCGUGU
rnacentral:rRNA from 1 species